rnacentral:rRNA from 1 species
UUACCGGCUUGACAUAAAAGAGAUUCCCUCGGGCACAGGUGCUGCAUGGUUGUCGUCAGCUCGUGUCGUGAGAUGUUGGGUUAAGUCCCGCAACGAGCGCAACCCUGUCUUAGUUGCCAUCAAUUGGGACUCUAAGAGACUGCCUGGAUUAACAGGAGGAAGGUGGGGAUGACGUCAAAUCCUCAUGGCCCUUACGCCGGGCUAGACACGUGCUACAAUGGGGUACAAGGGGCAUCGCGAGACACGCAAUCCCUAAACCUUCUCAGUUCGGAUAGGAGUCUGCAAUUCGACUCCUUGAAGUUGGAAUCGCUAGUAAUCGCGAUCAGCAUGCGCGGUGAAUACGUUCCCGGGCCUUGUACACACCGCCCGUCAAGCCAUGGAAGAUGGAGGCCGAA